CUCAAUGCUAUUGAAUUGAGCCCAAAUAAAUGGCCCAAUAUCAUGACCCGUGAAGAAGAAUCUGGAAGGCUGAUCUUUUAACUCGAAAAAUGUGUUUUUGACUAUAAGGAGCGUCUUUUCUUUGGAUCAAUGAAAGUGGGAAAUUGGUGGACGUCGGAUCCUUACCUUUCAUAUAAAUAGGAAGCAUCAGAUUUUUUAGGGUUAACGAUUAGUAUUCUAAGGCUUUUUUUGGCUGCGUGCCUUUCAUCUUCUCUAUUCUAAUCUUUUGAUUUCUUUGAAAAUAUUUAUUGUGAUUUUGGAAGAAUUGUUAGAGAAACUCUUGUGUGAGUUCUACUGUGGGAAGAUUGUGUUGUCUAUGUGAUUUGGGAACUUUGUGUUCUGUAAUUUGAUCUUUGCCUUUUUGGCGGAUUUAGUGGAUUCGAGCUUAAUCUUUUAUGGAUGCUCAACGGGGGACUAAGCGUUAGAAGCGAUCGUUGAACCUCCGGGGCCUUUUGACCAAAAAAUCUCUCGUGUUCUUAUUUUAUGUUUUAUUUUGAGAAAAUCUAGAUUUUUGCGUUGAGUAUUUUUGGCAUAAAUUCGAUCCUGGAACUACAGUGGUAUCAGAGCUUAAAUUUUUUUUUUUUUAAAGAAAUUUUAGUUUUCUCAAAACCUGAUUUCUGAAACUCGAAUCUCAAAGGGGGAUUCUCUCAGCCUAAAGAAAACGGGCAAUUUCAGAUUUGCCAACAUUUGAAAAUUUUUCUUGGGUGCUUCUGUCAUUAUUUUUCCUAUAUCUUCAGGGUGUUUUUUUUUUUUUUUUUAAUCCUGUAGUAUUUCUUGUUGGUAGUUUUCUUUUAAAAGAAAAAGGAGGUUGGUUCGACUUGAUCUACUUUGUAUUUGCCUUUGUCUAGGGUUCCUUAAGAGAGCCCUAGAAUCUGAGGAAAUCCAGGGAUCUUUCAAUUCAAGAAACUAGAAUUUCCAACUUUCUAAAAUUCUCGUUAGUUUAAUACUAUGUGUAUAUUUUAUAACUUGAAUUUAUUUCUUUAUAAACUGCUGGAUGAUAUUAACGGUGUGAUUUUUUUUUUUUUGAGCUUCCUGUUCAAUUAGGAAAUAUCCAAUCACAUUUACUUGCUCUUGUGAAGGUAUACUUGUUGAGCACUUUCCUUUUUGAUUACUUAGUGUAAGUAUAUUUUUGGCCCUAUAAUAUUUCUGGAUUGUAUGCUAUUUCUGAAAUAUACUGUAUUGACUUGUGUGACAAAUUACUGUACAUAACACACUUAAGCACAAUUCAUAUAUUGUUGCUUACAAUGAAUUCAAAAGUAGAUGUUCAGAUUUGGGAUGGCAAAGGAGACUUUAGUCUUUGGCACCAAAAAAUUAAGGCCUUACUGUUACAAUUAAAAUGUGCUAAAGCUGUUGAUGAAUCUUGGCCUGAAAACCUACCUAAAAAUAAAAAAAAAUUGAUCAAGAUGAGCUAGCUUGGAGUACUAUAUUCUUACACUUAUCUGACUUUAUGAUUAGAAAAGUAGGAGAAACUAAGACUGCUGCAGAAUUAUGGACAGCCUUAGAAAACUAGUACCUAACUAAGUCUUUACCAAAUAAAUGUUUUCUAUGGAGGCAAUUCUUUAGUUUUAAGUUUGAUCCCAAUCUUGAUACAGAAGAAAACAUGGACAUAUUUACUACGAUCACUCAAGAUCUUAUAAAUUGUGAAGAAAAGAUCUCUAAUGAACAAAAGGUAGUAGAUCUACUAAAUGCCUUGGGGGACAAAUAUAAAGACAUAAGAAAUGCCUUGGAAUAUGGUAGGAGUGACUUGACGGUUGAAAUUAUCCAUACCUCUCUUUUGAAUAAGGAGUUAGAAGUGAAAUCUGAACAUAAGGAGGCAUUUCAUGUUGAAAAUUACCUUGCAAAUCAAAAAUCUCAAACUAAGGGUAUCAGUAAUUUUAGUCAGUCUAAUCACAACAAGGACAUAAAUUUUGUAAAAAGGAAAUUGUCCAAUAAUAAUAAAGGAAAGGACAAGAAAUUUAAUAAGACCAAGGCAAAGAACAAGAAGUGCUAUUAUUGUGGGAAGUUAGGUCAUUUUAUCAAAGAUUGCUUUAAGAAAGCCAAUGACCAGAAAAAUAAUCCCAAUUUUGAGAUUUGGUCAUCAUCCAUGGUUGUCCCCUACAAAGACGUAGGAGCCAACAUUGGGGUUGCUUAUGUAUCUGUUACUAAAAGGACUGAUCAGAACUGGGUUCUGGAUUCAGGUUGUUCCUUUCAUAUGACUCCUAAUAAAGGUUGGUUCUCUGACCUUAAUGAAGGCUUUGUAAAAUUUGGUAAUAAUGAAUCAUGUCAAAUUAGAGGCAUAGGUAAUAUCCUUCUGAAAUUAAAAUAUGGCCAUUACUUAAUGAUGAAACAUACAAGAUAUGUGCCAGCACUAAGUAGGAAUUUAAUCUCCCUAGGUGUUCUUGAUGAUGAGAGUUAUCAUGUUGAAAUCAAGAAUGGUUUUACAAAUAUAAUCAGAGAUCAAAAGCCCAUUAUUAGUGCCCUAAAAAUUAAUGAAAUUUAUGUUAUUGACACUGAACCUAAUCCAAAGAAUAAUCUCAUGAGUCUUGUUGCACAUUCUUACAAGUCAGAACUCUGGCACAAGAGACUUGGCCAUCUUGGUGAAAAGGGUCUAAAAUCCAUUUCUCAUCAAGGGGCAUUUGGAAAGGACAAUGUUCAAAAACUAACCUUUUGUGAACAUUGUAUUUUGGGGAAACAGGUAAGGUUGCCUUUUAGGGCAGGUAUUCACAAGUCUCAAAAUAUUUUGGAGUAUAUAUAUAUAGUGACUUGUGGGGUCCUGCACCGGUAUCUACCGUAUCUGGUUAUAGAUAUUACCUAUUAAUCAUAGAUGAUUAUUCCAGGAAGUUCUGUAUUUUCUUGCUUAAAUUAAAAUCUGAUAUUUUGUAAUCUACAAACAAUGGUGUACAUUAAUUAAACCAAACAAGCAAGAAGAUUAAGACACUUAGAACUGAUAAUGGGUUGGAGUUCUGUAGUAUAGAAUUUGAUCAAUUCUGUAGCAAUCAAGGUAUAUUGAGACAUAAAACAGUUACCUACACACCUCAGCAAAAUGAGGUUGUUGAGAGAUUAAAUAGAACUAUUCUUGAAAGGACCAGAUGUAUGUUGAUUAGUUCUGGCAUGCCUAAAAUAUUUUGGGGGGAAGCUGUAAAGACAGCUUGUUACUUAUUGAAUAGAUGCCCCUCUAGUUCCUUAGAUAAUAGAAUCCUUGAGCAAAUCUGGUAUGGUACUAUGCUUGACUACUCCCAUCCCAGAACCUUUGGUUGUGCUACAUAUGCAUACCAUUAUGACUCAAAAUUGGAUCCUAGGUCACAAAAGAGUGUCUUCUUAGGAUAUAGAGAGGGAGUUAAAGGCUAUAGACUUUGGUUAAGGGAUAUUAGAGGCUAUAAGGUGAUAAUAAGUAGGUCUGUGAUCUUCAAUGAGGAUGAAUUUCCAUGUCUCGUGACAAAACCCAUUAAAGCAAAAAGGAUGAUGACUUUAUUAUCAUAGAAAUUGAGUUGAAUAAGGAAAACACUGAUGGGCACUCAGUUUGAGGUGGAACGGCCUCAAACAAAGCUUAAUGACAUUUCAGAUGCUGAAAUUUUGAAUGAUAAUCAGGAACUAAGCUCAGUACAUGAGCUGCAAAAUUAUCAGCUUGCAUGAGAUAGGGAAAAGAGGGAAAUAAGACCUCCCUCCAGAUAUCAAUAUGCAGAGUAUGUAUCUGUUGAAAUAAAUUUUGACCCCUCUGAUCUUGAACCCACCUCCUAUGAGGAUGCAGUAUCUUGUAAAGAGUCAUUAAAAUGGAUAGAAGCUAUGGAGGAUGAAAUAAACUCUUUGCAUAAAAACAAAACUUGGGAAUUGGUUAAGAAACCUGAAGAACGUAAAUUGGUUGAUUGUAAAUGGGUAUAUAAGAUUAAAGAGGGGGAUUCAAGUAUAUCUAAUAAAAGAUAUAAGGCAAGCCUUGUAGCUAAAGGCUUCACUCAAAGAGAAGGGAUAGACUAUACCGAAAUCUUCUCACCUAUAGUUAAAUACACCUCUAUUAGAAUUCUCCUUGCCAUUGUUACUCAGUUCGAUAUGGAACUAUAGCAACUUGAUGUAAAGAUUGCCUUCUUGUAUGGUUCUUUAGAUGAAACCAUAUAUAUGACGCAACCCAAAGGUUUUGAGGCAAAAAAUAAAGGUAAUCUAGUGUAUCUUCUAAAUAAAUCAUUAUAUGACUUAAAACAGACUCCUAGGCAAUGGUAUAAGAGAUUUGAUUCUUUUAUACAGGGCCUAGAGUUCAAGAAAUCAGACUUUGAUCCUUGUUUUUAUUUUAAGAAGAACAGUGAUUCUAAAUUCUUUUACCUCCUUUUAUAUGUUGAUGAUAUGUUGUUGGCUGGUCAUAAUUCUAUUACACUUAAUUCCAUAAAAGAAAAAUUGGAAUUGGAAUUUGAAAUGAAGGAUCUGGGUCCUACAAGAAAGAUUUUAGGCAUGGAAAUUAUAACAGACAGAAUAAAUGGCAAGUUAUUUUUAACUUAAAAGUCUUACAUUGAAAAAGUGGUUAAAAGAUUUUCCUUAAGGAUGCCAAGUCUGUCAGUUUACCUUUGUCUGCUUGCAUGAAAUUAUAUGUUGAACAAUCACUUAAAACAGAAGAACAAUUUAAAAGAAUGAUAAAUGUGCCUUAUGCUAAUGCUGUUGGAUCAGUUAUGUAUGUAAUGGUAUGUACUAGACCUGAUAUAGCAUAUGUUGUAAGUGUAUUAAGUAGAUUCAUGAGUAAUCCAGGUGAAUUUCAUUGGGAAUGCAUGAAAAACCUGAGUAAAUAAUUGAAAAGGACAUGUAAUCUAGGACUUAUGUUUAAAGUAAGUAAAGAUGGUUUUAAACUAAAAGGUUAUGUUGAUUCAGAUUCUGCUGGAAACCUGGAUAAUAGAAAGUCUACUUCUGCAUACUUUUAUGUCAUAAAUAAUACUUGCAUUAGUUGGAAGUCACAACUUCAGAAAAUAGUUGCCUUAUCCUCUAUUGAGGCAGAAUAUGUUACUGCCACUGAAGCUAUUAAAGAGGAACUGUGGCUUAAAGGACGGUUAAAUGAAUUAGGUCUUAUAGAAAGUCAAGUAGAGUUAUGUUCUGACAAUCAAAGUGCUAUUUUCUUAAGUAAAAAUCCAGUUUUUCAUGAUAGGUCAAAGCAUAUUGAUGUUAAAUUUCAUUUCAUUAGAGAUAUAAUUGAUAAAGGUGAUAUUAAAUUGAUAAAAAUACCCACUAAGGUAAGUCCUACAGAUGUUGGGACAAAGGUAAUACCACUUUGUAAGUUUUCAGAUUGUUUGAGAUUAUUAAAUCUCGAAACUUGCUAACAAUUUUUCUUUUCAGGUGACUAGAGCAAAUGAAAUAAAAGACUAAGUUAGAAUCCACAUAGAUGCAAGCACAAAAUAUAGCAAAGGUGGAGAUUGUAAGUUGUUGGGUUGCUGCACUUUGUGAUGUGAGCCCAUUUUUCUCAAUGCUAUUGAAUUGAACCUAAAUAAAUGGCCCAAUAUCAUGACCCGUGAAGAAGAAUCUGGAAGGCUGAUCUUUUAACUCAAAACCCGUGUUUUUGACCAUAAUGAGCGUCUUUUCUUUGGAUCAAUGACAAGUGGCAAAUUGGUGGACGUUGGAUCCUUACCUUUCAUAUAAAUAGGAAGCAUCUGAUUUUUUAGGGUUAACAAUUAGUAUUUUGAGACUUUUCUUGGCUGCGUGCCUUUCAUCUUCUCUGUUCUAAUCUUUUGAUUUCUUUGAAAAUAUUUAUUGUGAUUUUGGGAGAAUUGUUAGAGAAACUCUUAUGUGAGUUCUACUGUGGGAAGAUUGUGUUGUAUUUUUGAUUUGGGAACUUUGUGUUCUAUAAUUUGAUCUUUGCCUAUUUUGACCUAUUUAGUGGAUUCGAGUUUAAUCCUUUAUGGAUGCUCAAUGGCGGACUAAGCAUUAGAAGUGGUCAUUGAACCUCUCGGGCCUUUUGGUCGAAAAAUCUCUCGUGUUCUUAUUUUCUGUUUUAUUUUGAGAAAAUCUUGAUUUUUGCGUUGAGUAUUUUUGGCAUAAAUUCGAUCCUGGAACUACAA
rnacentral:lncRNA from 1 species